rnacentral:rRNA from 1 species
UACAGAGGGUGCGAGCGUUAAUCGGAAUUACUGGGCGUAAAGCGCACGUAGGUGGCGACGUAAGUCGGGUGUGAAAGCCCCGGGCUCAACCUGGGAAUUGCAUUCGAGACUGCAUUGCUGGAGUACGGAAGAGGAGGGCGGAAUUCCCGGUGUAGCGGUGAAAUGCGUAGAUAUGCGGAGGAACACCGAUGGCGAAGUCAAUCCCCUGGGCCUGCACUGACGCUCAUGCACGAAAGCGUGGGGAGCAAACAGG